CCUACGAGAGGCCGCAGUGGGGAAUCUUGCACAAUGGGGGAAACCCUGAUGCAGCAACGCCGCGUGAGUGAAGAAGUCUCUCGGUAUGUAAAGCUCUAUCAGCCGGGAAGAAAAUGACGGUACCUGACUAAGAAGCCCCGGCUAACUACGUGCCAGCAGCCGCGGUACUACGUCGGGGGCAAGCGGUAUCCGGAUUUACUGGUUGUAAAGUGAGCGUAGACGGUGUGGCAAGUCUGAAGUGAAAGCCCGGGGCUCAACCCCGGGACUGCUUUGGAAACUGUCAUGAUGGAGUGCUGGAGAGGUAAGCGGAAUUCCUAGUGUAUCGGUGAAAUGCGUAGAUAUUAGGAGGAACACCAGUGGCGAAGGCGGCUUACUGGACAGUAACUGACGUUGAGGCUCGAAAGCGUGGGGAGCAAACAGGAUUAGAUACCCGAGUAGUC
rnacentral:rRNA from 1 species